UAGCGUAGGGGGCGAGCGUUGUUCCGGAUUUAUUGGGCGUAAAAGAGCUCGUAGGCGGUUCGAUAAGUCAGGUGUAAAAACUCCAGGCUCAACUUGGAGAGGCCACCUGAUACUGUCGUGACUAGAGUCCGGUAGGAGGAGCACGGAAUUCCUGGUGUAGCGGUGAAAUGCGCAGAUAUCAGGAGGAACACCAGCGGCGAAGGCGGUCGCUCUGGGCCGGAACUGACGCUGAGGAGCGAAAGCGUGGGGAGCGAACAGG
rnacentral:rRNA from 1 species